CAUGUAUGUUGCAAUCCAGGCAGUUCUAUCGCUUUAUGCUAGUGGGCGUACUACAGGUAUUGUGUUGGAUUCUGGGGAUGGGGUCAGUCACACAGUUCCAAUCUAUGAAGGUUAUGCACUUCCCACGCCAUCCUCAGGCUUGACCUCGCUGGACGGGAUUUAACAGAUGCCUUGAUGAAGAUCCUUACAGAGAGGGGUUAUCAUUCACCACAACUGCUGAACGAGAAAUUGUACGUGACAUCAAGGAAAAACUUGCUUACGUGGCACUCGUCUACGAGCAGGAGCUUGAAACUGCGAAAAGCAGCUCAUCAAUUGAGAAAAGUUAUGAGCUACCUGAUGGUCAGGUAAUAACCAUUGGAGCGGAGCGUUUCCGUUGUCCUGAGGUCUUAUUUCAGCCAUCACUUAUCGGAAUGGAAGCUCCUGGAAUUCACGAGACCACCUACAAUUCCAUCAUGAAAUGUGAUGUCGAUAUUAGAAAGGACUUGUACGGUAAUAUAGUGCUUAGCGGUGGAUCCCAUGUUUCCCGGUAUUGCUGAUCGAAUGAGCAAGGAAAUCACAGCUCUUGCACGAGUAGCAUGAAGAUCAAGGUGGUGGCACCCCCAGAGAGAAAGUACAGUGUCUGGAUUGGUGGGUCUAUUUUGGCUUCUCUUAGCACAUUCCAGCAGAUGUGGAUAUCGAAAGCAGAGUACGACGAAUCCGGACCUGCCAUUGUUCACAGGAAGUGCUUCUAGAUAUAUACUUGUGUUAUUUUGCUGUUUCCUUCUGCAUUUUGUGGUUUGGAUUUUUCGGGUUUUGAGAUUGUCAGUUUGGCUUGGUUUUCAGUCAGUCCGUUUGAUUUUUCGUUUUGGUGUCUCAUGUUCAUCCCAUGAUAAAUGUAUGAGACAUGGUUUAUAAGUAUGAUUAUAUGGUAGAGUGUUUGUAGUGUAACAUAUAGACGGUUGUAUUCUAUAAGGAUAGCAUUGUUGCUUGCUCUUCACAAUCAUGUAAUGUAAGUUUCUUCUUUUUUGUAACA